GUUAGCGUGUAUAGAACGGCUUCUCGUCAUCGUCGAUGGGCAGAGGGGAGCAGCAGCAGGAGGAGGCAGCGGUGCCCCAACCCCGCCGCCGCUCCAAUCCCACCAGCGGCGUCCUCUCCUCAUCCCCUAACGCCGCCGCUCCAGCCCCUCACCUUCCUCGGCCGAUUUAGCGCCGUCACCACCCCUCAGCACGCAACCUCUCCUCUCCUCCGCAGCUCCGCCUCUUCCUCUGGCGGCAUCCAACCCAAUCAUCAUCUCCUACUCCCCUCUCUUAUUCCCCUGUGCCUCGACGAAGUGGGCCAAGCCGGCGCACGCAGCAAAGGGCGGCUGCGGAUGCAACUCAGACGCGGGCGCGGGCGCGGGCGGAGCUACGGUGGCUGGUGGUGGACGGGAAUCCCACCGACCGCGUCCCUCCCCAAACUGCCGCGAUAAUGGAGGGAGCCGCCAGCGCCGGCCAGGUACCGACCGACGGGCUCGUCGGGUCGCCGUUCCUUGGGGCCACUCUCUCCCCCCGUGUCGGAUCGCGCAUCGGCUCGGAGGCCCCUCUGGGCUGUCGCCGGUGCGGGAGGCGUCCGCGGCCGUGCGGGCUGGGGACCGAGCGGCGAGGCCCGUGGUGCGUUCCGGUCGAGGGCUUGCUUGAUCUGGCACGCGAUCUGAGCCCCCGUCGAUGGAUUUCUCGCAGCUCGGCUGCGUUUUGUUUUGGAUUCAGUACGACCCACAUCUCUCUCUCACACACAUGUUGCGGCCGAAAUCACUGCUUUGACUUAUUUGGAAAAGUUCAGCACAAAAUGAACCAUGUUGGAAACAUAUCUGGGGCGAUGAUGAUAAAACAUGGCUGACAUAAACUUGUCUUUGAUUAUUCGAGGACCUGUGGGCAUAAAAAACCCACUCCCCCCUCUUUUGGAACCUUUUCAUUCUCACUGAAUAUUGACGGCUCUGUCUUGGAUGGUCACUCUUUGAGUGAUAACCAGAGGAGCUCGACUUCAGUGGUGGGGAUUGAUCUGGUGCAAGAAGAUGGUGGAGCCGUGGAGCUAGGUUUUAUGAUCUAUCAAAGGCAAAUCUGAGCCCUUUCAAAUCUCAAUGCAACUAAUAUUGUGGCCUCUACACAUUUAUUUAUCCCCUAUUUAUGUAUAAAAGUGAUGAAAAUUGUUGUGGUUGUGGCAUCUGCUAUCUCAUUAAGAGCAGCUACGCACAUAUCACCUCGGGUGGUGUUUGGUUUGCCUUCUCAUGAUUUUGUUGUCCAUGGUGGGAACCACUUUGGUGCAUUCAGACUUUUUCUUUUUCUGUUUUUACUUUUCCUUGAAUGGCUGUGAUCAUUCUGCUGUCCCUUGGAUAGUUUAUUUUAGGUUAUUUUAUCAGGUUCGGGUCAGUUUGCUUGUUUCAAUUGAUGUUUUACUUUUUAUAAUCUCUUUCUUCUACUAUACUAUUUAUCUACUUAUCAGUUUGUACUUUUGGUUACUCCCCACUUCUUUACUGGUUUCAACUUAUGGGUCAUAUAGGGCAAGUUCAGAUGUCAAGAUAACGGUUUCCUUCCUGCCAUGUUCAUGAAUGGCUAUGAGGAUAUAGCUUUCCUACAUCGAUCUGACAUCUGUUUGGAUUUUGUAUAUUGAGCAUUUAGGAGGCUGUUCUGGAUUGAUGCACUUUGUAGUGGCGGAAUUCGUGUUUAAUUUAUUGCACGAGAUGAAAUUGAGAGGCUGAUGUAAAUUCGUUUGUGUAUAGAUUUUGUUAGUUCUAGGAUUGGAUGUUUAUGCAGUCUCUCUGUCUCUCCUGGAGGUUAGCCGAUUGAUGGAUUUGACUGCUGAUCCCUUUGUGUUGGUUGAUGGUGUUGAGAUAGAAAUAAGGAUUAAACAUGACCCUGAUGCUGAGGCAGUAUUCCAAUAUCAUUAGAGGGCCAGUGUUCUUCCAAAGAUGAUUUAGAAUCUCAAAAACGUUUCUUACGUCAAGAAUUUGGGUUCAUGGUUGAAGUAACAAAAACAUACUCCCUCCGUUCCAAAUUACUCGUCGCAGAAAUGGAUGUAUGUAGAACUAAAAUACAUCUAGAUACAUUCAUACCUGCGACAAGUAAUUCGGAACAGAGGGAGUAUGCAGCUUCUUGGCUCUGUCGUUUACAAUUCUUUUUUUAGGUAUAUUUACAACCUUUGUUGUUCCAUAUAGUUUGUUUCUUAAAUAUCCUAAGCAUAUAUUAUUGAAUAGACUGACUUUCCUGUUUUUGUGAUAAAAUGAAAAGAAUAAUGUACAUUUUAAGGACAUGAUAAAUCUUCUUCUUUCAAUUUGGUUAUGAUUUGAGAAUGCUCACAUAUAUUUUCUGUGUUGCAUCACCCCAUGGUCUGUGAUAGCGUCCAACUAGGUAUUUGAAUGUCAGGACCUAGCUAAUACUAUGAUGUUAUCAGGUUAAUAAAUAAUAUAGUACUGUUUAUCUAUUACUCCCUCCGUUCCAAAAUAGAUGACCCAACUUUAUACUAACUUUGUACUAAAGUUAGUACAAAGUUGAGUCAUCUAUUUUGGAACGACGGGAGUAGGUUCUAUGAGUAUGGCCGGGGUGAAUCCUGCUCAUAGGCACUGAAAGAAUAAAUAAUUGAUCUUUAUUUCUUCAUGAAAAAUAUGUCAUUUCGUUUUUAAAGAAAAGUUAUGUGAAAAGUUGUAGUAGAACACUGCUAGUUGUAAUUCCCCAUGUGUCUUGGCAUUUUAGGUGGAGUGGGAAUCUUUAAGAGGAAGUAUCAAGCGACACGAGCACCUAUGGUAGAAUGAUGUGUUGACAGUGUACCUAAUCCACCUGUAUUGACAAUGCAUAUAAUUUUUAAACUCAAGAUUAUAUUAUCAGCUGCAAUAUCUAUUCCCUUUUAAACUCAAGACUUUUAAACAAGAUCAUAUACAUUGUGAACCAAAGAUAGUUGAGUAUACAGUUUAAUUCUGCAAUUUGUUCUAUUAGACAAAUUACUAUUGUGUUGAAUCCUUGUUGUGGUGUGCUAAAUCGUUUCCUUAUGUUUGUACCUGCCAGUUCUAAGCACCUAUUCUUUUCUUCUUAUUUUGUAUCUAUACAUAACAAUUCUAUUUUUCUUACCUCUGCAAUUAUACGACCUGUAGUUUAUUCUCAUGGAUCUUAAGGUACUGAACUUCCAAAUUAGAACCUGGCCUAAAUUUGAGAUUUCCCGAAUGUAUAUUUUUGUUUUUCUUUCAUUCUUUGGAGGUGAUCCGUUGGUUGCUCAAUGCUCUUUACUGCAUGAGUAAAUUUCUUUUUCUUUAUUUCUAAAGUCAGUUUUAUUUUCUUCGUGAAGGUCUCCUGAUGCAAAUAUAUAGUGAAAGCAGUUUGAGAAAAGAAGCAAAGCAUUCGAGCCAACCUAUUUAUAUGGUGUGGAGAAUAUAAGGUUCUUGGCUUAUUGAUAUCAUCUGGUCAUUUUUAUAGGUGCCUGACUACAUAAUGAACUUUCUAGCUGUGUUGAUGACAACAAAAAGAAAAGCUUCUUUGACCAGGUUUGCUGACUUAAUUCAAGCUAUCCUGGUGGACUGACAUCAUACAUCCAGAAUGCCAAAAGGCUUUUGGUAGAUUGCAAGGCAGGAUAAAAUCCAUACGAUGGUUCCACACCUUCAGUAAGUCUUGCCAUGCACCAUCGUUUCAUGAAUUUGUUGGGUUGUUUGAAAUGAGCCUUUUUUGUGUUGUAUGAGAUCUAAAAUUUCAAUUCAGAACACCCAUCUGAUCAUUUUUUCCUACUCUGAACUGUUGUGUACUGAUAUUAAUUUAACUCAUUUGCCUUAUGUUAUUAUUCUGGCUGCCUUCAGUUUACAUGACUGAAAUAGCUCGGUGAACUUUCUUCCCACAUCAUGUCAGAAUUCUAUAUGGAGUCAUCUUGGCAUAGUUAUGUUCUUCGUAAUAGUAAUAAAGGCAAAAGAGAAAUUUUCAUGUCUCGGUACAUUUUAAUUUCAGGUACCACUACUAUGUUGCAAAUGAUAGAUUAGAUUAUUAUAAGCUUAGUUCUCUCAAAGCUUCGUGCUUUAAUAGUGGAUGCUGCCUUUUCAAAGUAUAAUAAAGAUUUGGAAUUAUUUGGAAUUCUUACACAAGGACAUCACCAAAGCAAGUGUUCCUUAUUUAAAGAUUUCUUCAGCUCAAAAUGUUGUUGUACUACUAUGUCUUUUUGAACUGAAAAGUUUCCAGAUCCCAAGUUUUCCUUGUUUAAAGAUUUCUUCAGCUCAAAUUGUUGUUGUACUACUAUGUCUUUUUGAACUAAAAAGUUUCCAGAUCGCAAGUUUUCCUUAUUUAAAGAUUUCUUUAGCUCAAAAUGUUACUGUACUACUAUGUCUUUUUGAACUGAACAGUUUCUAGAUUGCUAAGGAUUGUCCUCUUCUUUGUUUAGAGAACUCGGCAUUCAGACCUCGCUGGCGCUGGGCUAGAUGGGCUUCCUGGUAUUUUAUAGUCUGGUCAUGAUUUCCAGUAGCUUGUCUAUAUGGAUGUCUAUACUCGUUUUCCACGACGUGAGCCCAAAACAGGCGUCCAACAGCUUGUCUAUAUGAUCGUCCAAAUAUACACAUCUUCUAAAUCAGCCUCGACAAUGUCCAUGCCUGGACAAUGUGAAGGCGUUGUCUAAACUCAGCUGCAGUCAUGAUUUCUUCCUCUCCCUAGCGACGGCCCACCUGUCAUGGUCCCUGUAUAUAGACAUUCUGAUGCAAAAUUGGAUGUGUAUAUGAGGGAAUCUUUUUAGACCAUUAUCUAUAUGAAUAUAUAGACAUCCAAAUAUACACAUGCUAUUGGAGAUGCUCUAAGCAGAUUUGUUAUCUUCAAGUAAAGCUAAAUGUGAGCCACACCAACUUCCUUUAGUUCUUGAGAAUUUGUUGUCGUCCUUUGGAUUAACAGUCUGCCACAGUGCUCAUGGCUCUUGCAUUCACUCAAGAAUCAGGGCAAGUGUGGUGAGUGUCGUGCUUUUGAAUAUGUUGUUCUACACUUGACAUUGCAGCGCUCAUCUAUUAGAAUUUGCAUUAUUGCCAUAAAUGAUUCCAGUAACUAGAAUCCAUGUUAGGGAAUAGAAGCUGACAGGUACAAGCUAACCACCCUUGCCUAACUCGUUUGCCUGUCGUACUUGGAAAAAAUCUGUACUUGGCAAUCUACUACUUUUUAUUUGAUGUUUGGUUCAGGAAAUAGGACCUAGCUUCAGUUACAUUAACUAUCGAUUUGUUUCAGGGACAAUCUCUAUUCUUAGCAAAUUCCCAUGUUAGAGAAAAUUUGUAGUAUAAAUUAAGUGACAUCAUGAAAUAUUUUGAAUCAAGAUAACAAAGAAGAAUUACAAGUUUGAUAAAGCACGAGGGAUCAUUCAUUCAUUUACUUAUGAUCCCUUUAAGACUGCUGCCUCUUUGUUAAUACAAGACUAUUAGUAUAUAUCAAACCCCUAAACUUGCUUUGGUUUUUGAAUGUGAUUUUUAACCAGCAACAUGGACCUUUCACUCAUCUGUAAUGCAUGUCUUCUUGCUAAAAUAAGUUUAGUAAUACUGCUAUGCACAUGCCAUACCCACAGCGCCAAAAAGCAACAACAAGUAUGGUAGCCUAAUUAGUAGCGCACCUUACAGCCUUAGUUGCAUCCUGAUGCUUUACAUCCUCUAGAUGUUUUUUUGAUUUUUUUUGCAUCCUCUAGAUGAACUCUUUUUACUGAACCUUCUACCAUUGUUGGUAGCUGAUGUUUAGAAGUCCAAGCAGCUGAACGUUUUACAGAUUUAUACAUACCCCCUGUAACGAAGAAGUGGGUGUUUCCAUGGAUGGAUCGGGUUUAAUCUAUGCACAGAUAUCACGCUUGAGGUCAGUUGUGUUUUCUCAGGUUUACGUAGGAAUGACAACUGUUUUCAGAAGCAAAAAACUUGAAUUGGGAAUGGAACCCUUGAUGGAUUGAUGUUUGCUGAAGAAAGUCCUUGCAGCAAAGAAGAACAUGAAGCAAGUUUUCUAUUUUUUACAAGUAUUUCCUUUUGUUCCUAAUUGUUUUCUCUUUCGUAUGGAAGCUCUGAAACAAAAUGAGGUGGCCUAAAAUUAAGGAUUAAUUCUUUUGAUAACUGAUUUGAGAAAACAGAUACAUGGAAUAUAAGUACAAGGUAGACUGUAGCAUUGCUAUCCUGUACAUACAGUCCAACCAACUGCUCCGAGAGGAACCAAGGCGACGUGCAAGUUGGCGUCUGUGAAGCUUUGUCGGAGCCAUUUUCCUGCUCCUCCAGAGCCACAAGGAGAGCCUAAAAGUCAGGGCAGAAGUGUGUCCGACUGUCGUACGAGAAGAAGUGUGCAUGGCUGAGGAGCCAGGGCGCCAAUGGUGCGGAGUCGUUCGCCAUCAAGAGGACCAAACCUGCCAUCAGGGACCACCGGAUCAAGCUCAACAUCUCCCUCGCCUCCGUCAACGCCCUGUCCUAGAGGGUCGUCGCCGUCCACGAUGAGCCCGCAGCUCGCGGAGCUCAUCCAAAUGCGGGCAAGGAUGUGGCGACUCAUCGACGACGUGCACCGGAUGAUGUAGCGCAUAGCGGACGAGGUGAGCGUGCUCCUCUGGUUGUUGGCCACAUGGUUGGAGGGAGGCAUCAAGGGCUCGCUACUACCGGGGCGGACGUGCGCACAAUUUAUAUUGAUAUAUCUUAUUUUGCCAAACAACAAGAUAUAUGCUCCUGAUGCUAUUAACCUGACAGGGAAUUUCAGUUUCUUUCACAUUAUACAUCAAUAAAUAUAUAGAGAUCCAGAUGUGUUGCA